ensembl:lncRNA LINC01915 long intergenic non-protein coding RNA 1915
UUGGCACAUUUUACUCUUCUGGCAGCUGGAGAGAGCUCUGACCUGUGUCUCAUCAGUGAAUGCUGGUUGUGACAAUAAUGAAUUUCUAAUGGCAAUUAACACAGUGACAGGGUUUAUAAAUUAUAGAUUAUGACAACACUCCCUGCGAUCUGGUUUUUUCCUUUGAAGACCACCUGGCUACCAAUAACGGUCUCACCAGCCAAAUCCUGUAUUUGUGGGCCAAGACAGAAGAAGAACAACAAUGAAAAAAAGCUGGAAAUCUUAGAGCAGACUCACAUCUUAACUAGGAGAAUACGUGCUGGCCCAAGUGCCCCAGGACUGAAGCAAAUCAGACAUAGGGGAGGAGGGAGAAUGUUAGAAUGAGGCACACCUGAUUCAGCCGCUAAAUAGUCUGGUUGGCUAAGAAUCACAAUCGAGGCAUUUUGCCUUUCUAGUUUUCUUUGGUGAAGAUCUGUGAGCAUCCAAAUGAUAUGAAGAGCAAUAUGGCUAAUCUGCACUACUUCGGAAGCCUGGGAGGAAUACUUCCUCUUUGCUGGAUGUGGCGUCUGCGUGUACCAUCUGGAAUUGCUGUAGCCAACUUACAAAUACAGACGAAAGCUUUAUCAACCUGCUGAGCACAGCAGAAUGGAAAGAUGCAAAGCACCCUGCUCUUGGGAACUGGCCACCUUCAGACUUCUUGCUACAUCAGGUUUUAUCUACUACAAAGGAUAUCACUUGGGAAGGAAUUUCUUGAAACUGCUCCCAAGAGAGCCAUUGGACCAUGUGGUAAACAACUCCUAGCUGAUGGAUUAUUGGGAAUAUUAACAUCAUCCAGAAUGCUAUGGGGAGAAGACAACUGGAAGCUCCGUGUGGACAAACCUCCUGGACUCUGCCCCACAUAUCUCUUCCCUUGGCUGAUUUGAAUUUGUAUCCUUUCACUGUGAUAAACCACAACCAGAUUAUUACAGCUGUCAGCAAGUUCUUCUAUUGAAUUGUUGAAACUGAGGGUGGUCUUGGGAACCCCUGAACUCUACUGUUGGUGUCAGGAGUGAGGGAAGUCUUGUGGACUGUACUCCCUGACCUCACAGGUGCAUUUUCCAACUUUAUUUGGACAUUCCCCAACAACAUCAUCCCCUUCUUCAAAUAUGUUUCUGCUACAAACAUUGUCCUUUAGAUGGUUCCUUUGCUGCCAUUAUGACUAUGGCGUAAUCUGUAGUAAAGCACCAUUAAGAUGUUAAUACAGAUGUAUGUGUGAAUUAAAAAGUGAUGCUAAAUGCAUAGUAACCAAUUUACUUCGCAUUAAUAAUUUAGCUAUUUUUAUUUGUUUCUAAACAAAAAGCAAAGAGGAUCCAGUCCAGAGAGCAGUUGCAACAGUGUGCACAAUUUUUAUUAAACCGAAAUAAAAGUUCUUGGGCUAUGGAA